CCAAUAUGGAGAAUAAUUCAAGUUGAAGUCAGAGAGAACAGGAGGGGCCAGACUAUGCAGAGACUUUCUACGUCAAUGUGAGAAGUUUCGGUUUCAUUCUGCACACUGUUGGGAAAGGCAGUCUCAGGCUAGAAAUGCUUCAAUCCCCUCUUGGCUGCAUAAGAAUGGGCCUUGAACCAUAAUUAUGGUUAUUGUGUCACACACUCUGUCCAAUCCCAACAUGUUUCUUGCCUUGUAAGAACCACCAUAAAAUCACUCAGUCCAGUCUCUAAAGCCCUGUAAAUAUCCUCCCUGACUUCUCCUUCUGAAAUACUGCUAAGGAUUAAGAGUUGAUCAUGUUGAAGAGUGUGUAGGAAGAGAUCAAGAGAGAAGCAAAGAGUCUUCUGGAAAUUACUACCCUACCUCUGUCAUCCUAAAGAUUUCAGAAUCUUAGUAUGAGAUCCUGGUAGAAUGAACUCUGGAUUAAAAUUCAAAAACUUGAUCUCUGGCAAACCCAUUGACUUAAACUUCUCGGUGCCUCAAGCUCUACUAAAUAAUGUAAAAAAGAAAAAUUAAACUCUGGUCCACAUUCAAAAAAAUAUGAAGUAAUAUAUGUAAAACAUCGAGUACCUUAAGGGAAAAAUUGAACUUUAUGAAGUAAAGGAACUGCAUUAUUUUCUGAUUGGAGUGGAACUUUUUUUUUUUUUUUUUUUUUUUUGUUUGAGACGGAGUCUCGCUCUGUCUCCCAGGCUGGAGUGCAGUGGCGUGAUCUCGACUCACUGCAAGCUCCGCCUAAUUUUUUGUAUUUUUAGUACAGACAGGGUUUCACCGUGUUAGCCAGGAUGGUCUCGAUCUCCUGACCUCGUGAUCCACCCGCCUUGGCCUCCCAAAGUGCUGGGAUUACAGGCAUGAGCCACCGCGCCCGGCCCAGGAGUUGAAAUUUUAACUCACAGACAUUCAACCAUCUCUCCUUUGAAGUACAAGAUGAAGAGAUUUUUCUGAUUCCUCAGGAAGUGCCUUGAAACCAACCUAAUUAUGUUUUUGUUGUUAUUGUUGUUGUUAUUGUCUUUUGUUUUUUGUUUUUUUUUUUUUGAGACAGAGUUUCACUCUUGUUGCCCAGGCUGGAGUGCAAUAGUGUGAUCUCGGCUCACCGCAACCUCCGCCUCACAGUUUAAAGUGAGUCUCCUGCUUCAGCCUCCCAAGUAGCUAGGAUUACAGGCAUGUGCCAACACGCACAGCUAAUUUUGUAUUUUUAGUAGAGACAGGGUUUCUCCAUGUUUGUCAGGCUGGUCUCGAACUCCCAACCUCAGGUGAUCCGCCCACCUCAGCCUCCCAAAGUUCUGGGAUUACAGGCGUGAGACACCACGCCCGGCCCCUUAAUUAUGUUUUACAUGAAUUUAGACUCUCUCAAAAUAGGUGACAGAACUAGAAUCUGGGUGUUUGUUAAUUUAUCUUUAAAUAGUAGGAAAUAAAUAAUAAUCCCAGAGCCAGCAGGGCCUUCAAAAUAGACAAAAUCCUAAAUUACACAAAACAAUGAUAUAAAAAGCAAGGAGUACAAACAUUGGCACAUAAACAUAUAAGGUUUGUUCAGGUUAUGCAAAAUUGAUUUCAAAAUAGCACUUUUCUCAAAAUAAUCCAUGGUUAUUAUCAUAAAUAUAUUAAAGUUUUGCUGACUUACAAAAUGUAUAGAAAUCUUUGUUCAAAAAGAGAAAAAAACAGCUAUACUCCUCUCUGGGUUGAAAUUGUUUUCAUUGGGUAUUUCUCACUAUUUGAGAUUUUCUUAUAUAUUGCAUGGACCAGAUGGUGCAACUAAUCAGUAUAAAUCUUUUCAAUGAAACACUUAUAGUUUCUCAGAAAAUGAGUAUCUAUAAACAGUGUGUUGUGGCAUGCCAUCUUGCAAAAUCUAAAUAUAGUUCUGGGUCAACUCCUUUAGGUCAUUAAAUAGAACUGCUGGCAAAUCCAGACAAUAACUUUUUGUAUUUUUCUCCUGAAUAUUUUCACCACCUGUCUUCAUGCCUGACCUCUCCAGUUUCAAGCAGAUCACAAAGGGAGGAAGAAAAAACCCUGGCAAGCCCAUAUGCCAAACUAGAUCAUAUCCAGGAGACCAAAUGCCUUCCAAAUCCAAGAAAUGGUUAUUUAUAUACCUGUAAUUAGUGAUUAAAACCCCAGGAGUAUUUGUUUUCCUUUUAACUUUAAACUCCUCUCAGCAUCUACGCAUUCUCAUACUUAACAUGAUGCUGUACAACUCUGCUAUUUAUAAGGAAACGACCCAGUAAUUAUUGUGGGAAAUGUGCUCCUCACUGUACGUUUAUCUUUGCUUUGUGUGUUUAGUGGUCAAUUAUUAUGUAAAAUAAGAUCACAGUCUAAUUUUUCCUGGUCAAUCAUCAGAAAACUCAGAAAAUUUUCACCAUGUAGAAGUUAGGAGAUAUAUUCAAAAUGAAAAAUAAUUUAAUUAGUAGUUAUAUUUCUGGUAUAUUGAAGCUGAAAUAGUGAUAUUUAAGGAACAGGUGAUCAAGUAAAAGAAACAGAACCAGGCUUACUACAUUACCAUCAAUUUAAUAACUGAGAAGUAAGUAUUUUAACAUUAGGUUAAAAAUAUGCCUAUCAACUAUCACGGCUCUGAAUAUCUAACAAGGAAUACAUAUUUGCUUAAUUAAAAUUUGCCCAGUAUAAACAAGCACUUCAUUUCUAGCAUGUAAAAAUAGAUAUAAGAAAACAAAAAAUUGACUAAAGACCCCAUGCAAUAAAUUUUAAAUAACUUAUAUAGACACUUUACCCUCAAAAAGGGGAACACAACUACUUAAGUAUGGGCUACACAUUGUGACUUCCUUCCGAAGAGUACAAUGUGGAAAAGGGGAAAAGAGGUUAAUUUUACACUGAAGAAAUCACACAUAUAACAUCUUAGCCAGAUAAUCAAGGUCAAGUCAUAAAUCAUGUUGACAGUAUGGACCCUUGGCAUGGUGUGAUAAGAAUGGCACUUCAUCCCUGGACAUUCUUAUCUAAAACCCAUAACCACAGCCUAAUCAUGAGAAAAACACCAAAUUCCAACAGAAGGGCGUCCUACAAAAAUGCCUGACCAGUAGUCCUCAAAACUAUUAAGUUCAUCAAAACAAUGAAAUUCUGAGAAACUGUCAUAGCCAAUAGAACCCUAAAGACAAAUGACGACUACAUGUAAUGUGGUAUUCUGGAUGGAAUCCUAGAACAGAGAAAGAACAUUAAGUAAAAACCAAGGAAACCAGAGUAAAGUAUGGACUUUAGUCAAUAAUAUAUUAAUAUUAAUACAUUUCAUUAAUUGUAAUGAAUCUACCAUACUAAUAUAAUAUGCUACUACUAGGGGAAAUUAUGGGGUACAUGGGUUCUCUCUAGACUAGUUUUUCAAUUUUGCUGUAAAUCUAUAACAUUUAUAAAGAAUAAAGUAUAUAAAUAAUAUUAAUAAUAACAAUGAUACAUGUGAGUACACCUAGAACCUGGAUUUUGGUUUCUAACACCAAAGAUUCCUGGAAGAAAUUGCUGAUUCUUGGACUAGGUCAGGAAAUGAAACCUGGAGAAUCCUGUAGUGUCAGAAAGUAAGAAUGUGCUCAAAAAAAAAAAAAAAAGGAAAAAGAAAAGUCCAUAAUGUUGGGUAUAUGGUAUAUGUCAAAGGGAUACAGGAACCAACUAAAAGAGGUCUCAAUUUCCAAAGUUGAAAAAAAGUAUUUAGCUUUGCCACUGAUACAACUGGAAAAUAAAGGAAGGGGCAAAGCAACUAAUAUUGACUGCAGGCUGUUUAUGGACCAGGCUCUGUGUUAUGUGCCAGGCAUUCAUGCCAGAUUUCAUCUGUGAAACCACUCUGUGAGGUAGAGGUGAUUAUUUCAGCUUUACAAAUGAGGAAGGUAAAGACCAUCAAGUUUAGUUACCUUGCCCAAGGUCACACAGGUCUCAAGCCAGAUUAGAAGCCUGGGACUGUCUACGUCCUGAGUCCUUACAUUUACCCAAUGCUGCUUCUAAUUAAAGUUCAUUCCUACUCUGCUCGUAAAUCCUAGUCCUAAAUUUCCUGAAUUUUUCUAGCAAAUACCCAUUAAAUAAUUUAAAAAUUGGAUGGAGAAGGGAGCCUUAUAUUCGAGUUUAUUAUUAUUCUUUUAGUGGUCAUAAUGGAAACAUCACAAACAAAAACAGCUGCAAAGCUGAGGAAAUGAUAAAGACAUUGAUUCCAAUCAAGGUACCUAUAGCUGAACUAUUUCUAGAACUUUAAUUGGCAUCCCAGCGACAAUAUCUCACAUUUAAUCUGCCCCCUAAAAAGGACUGUUGCUGCUUCUUUAUGUUCACUUAGCUUCCAGGGAAACCAGUUUCUAUUCCAAGUUAAUGAGUAAACUGCUGAUAGAACUUUGGUGUGACCUCAUCAAAGCAAAGAACUGGAACAUAGCUCAUAAGGCUGUUCCGAACAAGCUGCCACUCUGGAAAGACCAAAAGGCAUCUAGUUAAACAGAGCAUCACAGUGUGCACCAGGAAAUGGCUUGAUGUGCAAUAAAAACAUAAGCCAGCAUAGCACAUACACUGCCCAUACGAGGGCUACAUUACCUUCCACACAACCCCACUCCCACCUCCCCAGCCUGUUCCCAAUAGACACAUCAUGUGGUUCUAGGUUACCUUGUCACCCAAAAACCUAAGUAUCCAGACAUUGACUCAGUGACUGGUCACCUUUGUCUUUAAACAUUUCUCCUCCAUAUUGCUUUUGUUGAAGUUUAUAUCUUCUUCUUGGAUAAAUAACUCACGCUGGUUUUUUUGAACUGUAGGAAUCUUAUUUAAAUAUAUUUUUUUCUUUUAGCCUCUUUACCUGGUCUUCUGUUAUAAUCAUGCUUUCAAGUCCUGAUCUGAGCAUUGUAUUGGGAAUCAUAUAGCCUACAACAUUUAAUUGUGUAUUCUGGAAAGUUUAAUGAUCAGAUCUAUGAUGUACCUCAUGCUAUUUUUUUCACUGUGAGAUUGCAUUCUUUCAAAUCCCUUUUUUCCCCCCAAAUAAUUCGUUUUGUCAUUAUUUGAUUAGUCACUUUUAUGUGUAGAUAUUUUUCAUUAUUUCCUUGUAAACAAGCACUACAUAGUAUAUAAAUCAACUUUUUAAGUCUUCUUAUCAUGUAAUUUUCUUAUUUUAUUUCCAUAUACAAACCCCAACUCAUUGAAAAACAGAGUAAGAUCUUGGUUGAAAAAUAUCUGGCACAAAUAUAGGUAGAAAUAGCCUGAGUACACUGAGAGGGCAUGCCAGGCCCUGCCAAUUGGGCUCCCAGAUUCUGGGAAAGUCUUCUGCGGCCACAGUUCAUGGCCAAAGUUUACUGAUGUGCAGUGUACCAACUCAAGUGUACACAACAAAGAAGAAGGUCUGCUAUUUGGGAUGACUUGUUGUGGGAAGGAUUAAUUUAUAAAGGUUGCUAAUCUUUCUGCAAAUAAACUAUGAAACAAUUUUAAGCAUUUUUUUCUUUAUUGAAAAACUGUGCAGCUGACUUCUAAAUAAAAUGUAUAUUUUGCUGGCCUUAAGGAAGUUAACAACAAUAUGAAUGACAGAAUUUUAAAGCAGCAUUUGAAAAAUAUUAUUUCUAAUUCUUUCCCACAGUAACAGUCUGGAUAACAUUUUUUCUUGUAUUAGAUAACCAAGAAACUAACCCUGUAUAACAUCCUGGCAAUUUGCCUCUCUGGACAAGGGUGAGAAAAGCCAAGUAUUCAAACUCUGGGAAAAGCCAUCUCCAAGGAAACCCCCAUGUUUACCCUUCUUUGGGGAAAAUGUGUGAAUACAAGACUCGCUCCGUGUCUGGGCAGGUGGCAAGCAGAAAGAGCUUUGAGAGAGUCUCCAAAGCCCCUCCUGAGUGAAUGCCUCAGGCAGUCAUUAUUAGCUUAUUAGACGUCUCUGGUAAUUGGAUGUCUGUGUAACUGCCCAAAGCCACCUGCUACCAUGAGAAAUAAAAUGCCUGGGAAUUCAGCCCCUGGAUUUACUUGUUGACAGAGAAAAAUGGCAAAAAGAAAAAGGGGUUUGAGGAAAGGGUAGAAUGAGUUGCAGACAGAAUGAGACAGAGCUUCUCUCAUAAAAAGGAAAAAUAAAUUGAAUUUUAGCAUCCAACAUUUCUAAUUAAAUUUGGAUUAUUUAAAAGCCAUUCCCUUUCCUGUCACAAACUGUUUUUAAAAAGAUUAAACAGGAAGCUAAGAAAGAGAUUCACAGCUCAUUCAACAAAUAGCACCCUUUUUAUAUAAUAGAUCAAAUAUGAGCCUGGCUCCCAGUAUGGAAAAAUCUGGGAAAUGUACAUACUGGGUCUAACCAUAGUCAAUAUCAGAUUUUAUACAAAUAAGGGCAGAAGACAGAGCCAACAGUACCAUAACUAUAAUUGUAUACUUGAAUCCCACUUAAGAAAUCUGCUGCAUGCUCUUAUAGAACCAAUUUGAAAG
rnacentral:lncRNA from 10 species